GGGGGCUGACGCCUGCCCAGUGCCGGAAGGUAAAGGAAAUUAGUUAUUUUUUUAAAGAAGCUAAUAACUGAAGCCCCGGUGAACGGCGGCCGUAACUCUGACGGUCCUAAGGUAGCGAAAUUCCUUGUCGCGUAAGUUGUGACCCGCACGAAAGGCGUAACGAUCUGGGUACUGUCUCAAAGAGAGACUCGGUGAAAUAAUAAUGUUUGUGAAGAUACAAACUUCUUACACCUGGACAGAAAGACCCUAUGAAGCUUGACUGUAUCCUGGAAUUGAGUUUGGAUUUUAUUUGCGCAGUCUAGGUGGGAGGCUAUGAUUGUAUUUUUUUGGAAAUACAUGAGCCAUUAUUGAGAGACCACUCUUAAAAAAUUAAAAUUCUAAUAAUGGUCCUUAUUUUGGACGUUUGACAGUUUUAGGUGGACAGUUUUUUUGGGGCGAAAACCUCCUAAAAGGUAACGGAGGUGUACAAAGGUUCCCUCAGACUGGACGGAAAUCAGUCGUAGAGCGCAAAGGCAAAAGGGAGCUUAACUGCAAGACUGACAGGUCGAGCAGAGGCGAAAGCCGGUCUUAGUGAUCCGACGAUACUGUGUGGAAAGGUCGUCGCUCAACGGAUAAAAGUUACUCUAGGGAUAACAGGCUGAUCUUCCCCAAGAGUUCAUAUCGACGGGAAGGUUUGGCACCUCGAUGUCGGCUCAUCGCAACCUGGGGCGGUAGCACGU
rnacentral:rRNA from 1 species